CACACACACACACACACCUAGAGAGAGUGUCAGGAUUUAGAGAAAUGGAGGACCCAAAAAUGCAGAGAUGACAGGGCAGUGUUACAACAAAAAGAGUUCUGAAGUA